UAAGACGAACCGUGCAAACGUUGUUCGGAAUCACUGGGCUUAAAGGGCGCGUAGGCGGGUCCCCCAGUCUGUGGUGAAAGCCUCCAGCUUAACUGGAGAAGUGCCAUGGAUACUGGGGAUCUCGAGGAGGGUAGGGGCAUCUGGAACAGCCGGUGGAGCGGUGAAAUGCGUUGAUAUCGGCUGGAACUCCGGUGGCGAAGGCGAGGUGCUGGACCCUUUCUGACGCUGAGGCGCGAAAGCCAGGGGAGCAAACGGGAUUAGAUACCCCGGUAGUCCUGGCCCUAAACGUUGAGAACUAGGUAGUGGACUUAACAUGGGUUCACUGUCGAAGCAAAAGUGCUAAGUUCUCCGCCUGGGGAGUAUGGUCGCAAGGCUG
rnacentral:rRNA from 1 species